CAACGAAUCUUCCCCAAUGGGCGAAAGCCUGAGGGAGCGACGCCGCGUGAAGGACGAAGUACUUCGGUAUGUAAACUUCUGUUAGGGUUAUGAAAGUGAAGAGACUUAAUACGUCUCCAAUUGAUCUAGCCCAUAGAAAGGGACGGCUAACUCUGUGCCAGCAGCCGCGGUAAUACAGAGGUCCCAAGCGUUACUGAGAAUCACUGGGUUUAAAGGGUGCGUAGGUGGUCCGUUAAGUCAGUUGUGAAAUCCCCGGGCUCAACCCGGGAACUGCUUCUGAUACUGGCGGACUUGAGGCCAGUAGGGGUCACUAGAACUGACGGUGGAGCGGUGAAAUGCGUAGAUAUCGUCAGGAAUGCCGGUGGUGAAGACGGGUGACUGGGCUGGUUCUGACACUGAGGCACGAAAGCGUGGGGAGCGAACGGGAUUAGAUACCCCCGUAGUCC
rnacentral:rRNA from 1 species